AAAUUGAAGAGUUUGAUCAUGGCUCAGAUUGAACGCUGGCGGCAGGCCUAACACAUGCAAGUCGAACGGUAACAGGAAACAGCUUGCUGUUUCGCUGACGAGUGGCGGACGGGUGAGUAAUGUCUGGGAAACUGCCUGAUGGAGGGGGAUAACUACUGGAAACGGUAGCUAAUACCGCAUAACGUCGCAAGACCAAAGAGGGGGACCUUCGGGCCUCUUGCCAUCGGAUGUGCCCAGAUGGGAUUAGCUAGUAGGUGGGGUAACGGCUCACCUAGGCGACGAUCCCUAGCUGGUCUGAGAGGAUGACCAGCCACACUGGAACUGAGACACGGUCCAGACUCCUACGGGAGGCAGCAGUGGGGAAUAUUGCACAAUGGGCGCAAG
rnacentral:rRNA from 1 species